rnacentral:misc_RNA from 1 species
UUUCCGUAGGUGAACCUGCGGAAGGAUCAUUAAAGAGAUCAUGCCCUCACGGGUAGACCUCCCACCCUUUGUUUACAAUACCUUUGUUGCUUUGGCGGGCCCGUUUGGCCCCGCGCUGAACAACCGGCCCCGGCUGGUCAGUGCCCGCCAGAGAACCGAAAACUCUGAAUUAAAUGUCGUCUGAGUACUAUGUAAUAGUUAAAACUUUCAACAACGGAUCUCUUGGUUCUC